UACGAAGAGGGCUAGCGUUGUUCGGAAUUACUGGGCGUAAAGGGCGCGUAGGCGGUGUGUCAAGUCAGGCGUGAAAGCCCCGGGCUCAACCUGGGAACCGCGCUUGAGACUGGCACGCUAGAGUUCGGGAGAGGAUGGUGGAAUUCCCAGUGUAGAGGUGAAAUUCGUAGAUAUUGGGAAGAACACCGAUGGCGAAGGCAGCCAUCUGGACCGACACUGACGCUGAGGCGCGAAAGCGUGGGGAGCAAACAGG
rnacentral:rRNA from 1 species